GACGAACGCUGGCGGCGUGCUUAACACAUGCAAGUCGAACGGAGUGGCGAACGGGUGAGUAACACGUGGGUGAACUGCCUUGCACUUCGGGAUAAGCUUGGGAAACUGGGUCUAAUACCGGAUAGUGCAAGAUGAGCUCGCGAGCUAUCAGCUUGUUGGUGGGGUAAUGGCCUACCAAGGUGUCGACGGGUAGCCGGACUGAGAGGGUGUACGGCCACAUUGGGACUGAGGUACGGCCCAGACGCCAACGGGAGGCAGCAGUGGGGAAUAUUGAACAAUGAGCGGAAGCCGAAUGCAGAGACGCCGCGUGGGGGAUGAAGGCCUUCGGGUUGUAAACUCCUUUCGACAGGGACGCGGUACCUGUAUAAGAAGCACCGGCUAACUACGUGCCAGCAGCCGCGGGAAUAC
rnacentral:rRNA from 1 species